UACGGAGGAUCCGAGCGUUAUCCGGAUUUAUUGGGUUUAAAGGGUGCGCAGGCGGGAGAUUAAGUCGGCGGUGAAAUUUUGCAGCUCAACUGUAAAAGUGCCUUCGAAACUGGUUUCCUUGAGUGUAGAUGAAGUAGGCGGAAUUUGUGGUGUAGCGGUGAAAUGCAUAGAUAUCACGAGGAACUCCGAUUGCGCAGGCAGCUUACUAAACUACUACUGACGCUCAUGCACGAAGGCGUGGGGAUCAAACAGGAUUAGAUACCCCU
rnacentral:rRNA from 1 species